rnacentral:rRNA from 1 species
UUGAACGCUGGCGGCAGGCCUAACACAUGCAAGCCGAACGGUAACAGGAAGAAGCUUGCUUCUUUGCUGACGAGUGGCGGACGGGUGAGUAAUGUCUGGGAAACUGCCUGAUGGAGGGGGAUAACUACUGGAAACGGUAGCUAAUACCGCAUAACGUCGCAAGACCAAAGAGGGGGACCUUCGGGCCUCUUGCCAUCGGAUGUGCCCAGACGGGAUUAGCUAGUAGGUGGGGUAACGGCUCACCUAGGCGACGAUCCCUAGCUGGUCUGAGAGGAUGACCAGCCACACUGGAACUGAGACACGGUCCAGACUCCUACGGGAGGCAGCAGUGGGGAAUAUUGCACAAUGGGCGCAAGCCUGAUGCAGCCAUGCCGCGUGUAUGAAGAAGGCCUUCGGGUUGUAAAGUACUUUCAGCGGGGAGGAAGGGAGUAAAGUUAAUACCUUUGCUCAUUGACGUUACCCGCAGAAGAAGCACCGGCUAACUCCGUG